CGAAAUAGCGCAAUCUGGUAGAGCAACUGACUUGUAAUCAGUAGGUUACGGGUUCGAUUCCUGUUUUCGGC
rnacentral:tRNA from 1 species